rnacentral:lncRNA from 1 species
AUCUAGGGAGAAUGGAGAGCUGGGAAGUAAUUUUUGUGUAGAAGAAUUUCCAUAAGUUUUUCUUCAAAGCUCUCUUUGCUGAGAGAACAUCUUAUGUCUUGUAACAUUCUAUUUCAAAGUUUGAAUGCAUAUUCUGUUUAUGUUAUCUUACUCUCUGUACGUGAUUUUGAAAACAUAACUGCAACCACACCAGAGGUCCAAAUGGUACGUUUUAUAUGUCAUAUGAAAGAUAUUUGAGUCUACUUUCCAUGAAAAAAAACCUCAUCUCAUUUAGAGUUCUGUAGAAAAAGUUAUGGGUAAAACAUUGAGCAAAGGUCAGAGCUGUCCAGUUUUCGGAUUUUUGUGUUUUGGGUGUUUCUGUACGCGAUUUUAAAAAAAUAACUGCAACCACACCAGAGGUCCAAAUGCUACGUUUUAUAUGUCAUAUGAAAGAUAAUUGAGUCUAUUUUCCAUGAAAAAAAACCUCAUCUCAUUUAGAGCUCUGUAGAAAAAGUUAUGGGUAAAACAUUGAGCAAAGGUCAGAGCUGUCUAGAAAGGAAUGGGUAUCACGUUUUCUUGUGUUUGAAUGAAGGGAAAAUAUUUUCUUAUCAUUUUGCUUCUUGUGCAGUAAAAAAUGAAUAAUCUUUUCUAGAAUUUCUUUGGGUUCUCACGGUUUUCACUUUUAUUUGGUCAAGCAAAAUAUUUUUCUUUUCUUUUAAGAUCAUUCAUGUGCUCACGGUUUCAACUUCUUGAAAGCAAAGUUCAUGUUUCUUUUCUUCAAUUUAUUUUAUGAAAAGUAAUUGUUUUUCUAGAAGAAGUGGGGUAAUGGCUGAAAAAUUUCCUUGACUUGGAUGGACACAAAUACAUUGGUAAGAGACAAAAGACACUUCCAAAUUCUUCUUAACAUGACUCAUGGUGGGACUUGGUGAUGAGAUGUUCCUUUGCCUAAUUGACUAAAAGAAAUGAAAAUACUAAAUGAUGGUGCAAGGUUAUGAGGUAAAUUCUAAAAUUGAUGCAAUCUUAAUUAAUGAAACACUGAGAACUCCAUAAGUCAUGAACAAAGAAAAUUAAUUUGUAGCAUUUUCAGUUUCUUUAAACACUUGGUGACAUGAAAAUAAAAAAAAAAGAAUUUAUUUCU